UCGGGUCUAUAUACGUCGGGAACAAAACUUGGUUAUAUCAUUGGCCCCCGUGCACCUGUGCUCGAUAAUAUGCACGAGGAUAGGUGCAAAAGGUCCUAAUUACAGUCCUCGGUAUAGAGCCUCUGACGAUUCAAUACUGAGGAAGGACUCCUGAGGGCUGACGUCAAGAUGUGGUAAUGACGCCAGCCCUAGUAGAAAGGCGGUGUAAUUUUUAGACCGUGGGAUGUAGGACACGUG
rnacentral:lncRNA from 1 species